AGAGGAGCCUGGCACGUUAUAGUCCAUGGGGUGGCAAAGAGUUGACACAACUGAGCAACUAAGCACAGCACACAUAGAGUUCAUACUCCUCAAACCCUAGCCUACCUUCUCCCAUCUCGUCAGCAGAUGACCUGGUCUCUUUGGUUACUGAGAAAAGGGAGGCUACCAGGCAGAGAUCCCUCAACCCACUGCUUAUCAAUCUGCACACUGACUGCCACCCAGACUCACCCAUCCCCAUCCUCUAAGGCACUGGUCCAUCUUUUUCGCCUGUGCUCAGGAUCCCAUCUUCUGCAUCUUAUUCUUUGUUAAACUUCCUAAAUGCACUUAGCCACAUUCCUCUCUCCCUUUCUCUCCUCCUCUUUCUCUUACACACACACACACACACACCCCACACACACUCUUUCUCUCUCAUCUGUCCAUAUUUCUUUUAUUCUGGCUUCUGCCUUAUCCUGUCUUCUUCCCUUAAUGGCCAAACUUUCUGAAAGGCUUCCCACAUCAUCUCUGUUCUCACAGUGUGUUCACUUCUACAACUGGGCUUCGCAUUCUGCCCCUCCCCACACUGAAUCUACCUUGCUGCUAGGUUGAAAAGGUUCUCUCCAGGCUCUGUGUCAUUGGAUCUGUCUGCAGCAUUUCCCGUCAACUUUCCUGACAAUACUCUCUACUGAUUUCCAUGACAGCACUCCAUGCUAGUUCUCUCAACUCUUUGAUCACACCUUUUCAGACUCCUAAUUGACUGCCCCUUAUCCAUUAGUAGCCCUCCCUGGGUUCUGGCUUCUCACUCUGCACAUUCUCCCUGAUUAUCUUAUCCUCACUCUCAGCUGGAACCACCACCUCGCUCCAAGCCAGAUUACUCUUUUAAGCUCUAACUGCUCACAACUGCCCAUGGGACACAUCCGCUUAGUUGUUCCACAGGCACCUCAAAAUCACCAUCUUGUUAACCAGUUUUCCUGUCCUCUUCCCUAAACCCAGUCUCAUCUCCCCCAGCAAAUCAGUCACCAAAGGUAGUUGGUUCUCCCUCCUAAUUUUUCCUUCUUCAGCUCUCCAUCCAAUAGUCACUACUUAGUGCAGGAGCCUAUUUUUUUGCCUAGGUGCAACAACCCCAAACUCAUCUGUCUCUAGUCCUGCUAGAUGCCCCUCAUUCUCCAACAGCAUUGCCUUCAGGAAGAGCUUUCCACAACCAAAUUUCAUGGCCUCUUGGGUCCUUCAUGAUCUCCUUCUCUAAAAACCCAAAAGGGUGGGUCUCUGCAACUCUGAUAUCACUAUAUGAUCCUAACCUUCCUGGCUACAGGUGAAUGGCUCGAGGAACAAAUAUGAUCCAAGCUGAACCAAUCAGAUUCUACUAAGAAUUUACAAUGAGGACCCAGAAGAUUCUAAACAGGUUUCCAUGUGAAUAAAAGUCUUCACUUCUCCUGGGAAAUGAGAUAGCUGAAUCAUGGGUUUCUCCAGAGAUGCAAAGGACUUUCCUGAUGAGUCUGUUGGUAAAGAAUCCACCUGCAAUGUGGGAGACCAAGGUUCAAUCCCUGGAUUGGGAAGAUCCCCUGGAAGAGGCAUGGCAACCCACUCCAGUAUUCUUUCCUGGAGAAUCCAAAUGGACAGAGGAGCCUGGUGGACUGCAGUCCAUGGGGUUGCAAAGAGUCAGACACAACUGAGUGACUAAGCACAGCACAGAGACACAAAACCAAUAGGAUAUAUGUUUAUAGUUCUGUUACAUGUAUUUUAUAUUAUGUUUAUAUUAUAUACAAAAUAUAUACAAUUAUUUAUUAUGAGGAAUUGACUAAUUUAAUUAUGUAGGCUAAGAAGUACUACCAUCUGCAAGCUGAAGCCCCAGGGAAGCUUUGGUAUAAUUCCAGUCCAAAUUCAAAGGUCUCAGAACCAGGAGCACAGAUGUUUUAAGCUUCAGUCCAAGAGCAAAAGACCAUUAUUUUCAUUCAAGCAGUCAGGCGAAAGGAGAGAAAAUUCUCCAUUCCUCUGCCUUUUGUUUUAUUCAGGCCCUCGAUGGACUUGAAGAUACCUGCCUACACUGGGGAGAGCCAUCUGCCCUACUCAGUUUACUGAUACAAAUGCUGAUCUCUCCCAGAAAUAUUCUCAAGGACACACCUAGAAAUAAUGUUUAUCCAGAUUUCUGGACAUCCUGUAACCUCUAAAGUAACACAAAACAUUAAUCAUACCAAUUACCUUGGAACCUUUGUCAGUAAUCAAUUGACCAUGUAUGUGUGCUCUAUUUCUGAACUCUCUAUUCUGUUCCAUUGAUCUCUCCUUUCAUUAAUACCACAUAGUCUUGAUCCAUGUUGCUUUAUAAUGAUUCUUAAAGUCAGAGAGAAUAAGGUCUAAUGUAUUUCCCAGGUGGCUCAAUGGUAAAGAAUCUGCCUGCAAUGCAAGAGACGUGGGUUUCAUCCUUGGGUCGGGA